UACGGAGGGUGCAAGCGUUAUCCGGAUUCACUGGGUUUAAAGGGUGCGUAGGAGGACUGGUAAGUCAGUGGUGAAAUCCCCGAGCUUAACUUGGGAACUGCCGUUGAUACUAUCAGUCUUGAAUACCGUGGAGGUGAGCGGAAUAUGUCAUGUAGCGGUGAAAUGCUUAGAUAUGACAUAGAACACCAAUUGCGAAGGCAGCUCGCUACACGAAUAUUGACUCUGAGGCACGAAAGCGUGGGGAGUCAAACAGGA
rnacentral:rRNA from 1 species